rnacentral:rRNA from 1 species
AUACGGAGGGUGCAAGCGUUACUCGGAAUCACUGGGCGUAAAGCGCGCGCAGGCGGCCAUUUAAGUUGGAUGUGAAAGCCUACGGCUCAACCGUAGAACUGCAUCCAAAACUAUUUGGCUAGAGUGUGGGAGAGGAAGAUGGAAUUAGUUGUGUAGGGGUAAAAUCCGUAGAGAUAACUAGGAAUACCAAAAGCGAAGGCAAUCUUCUGGAACAUUACUGACGCUGAGGCGCGAAAGCGUGGGGAGCAAACGGGAUUAGAAACCCUAGUAGUCC